GACGAACGCUGGCGGCGUGCCUAAUACAUGCAAGUUGAGCGAUGAAGAUUGGUGCUUGCCCCAAUUUGAAGAGCAGCGAACGGGUGAGUAACGCGUGGGGAAUCUGCCUUUGAGCGGGGGACAACAUUUGGAAACGAAUGCUAAUACCGCAUAACAACUUUAAACAUAAGUUUUAAGUUUGAAAGAUGCAAUUGCAUCACUCAAAGAUGAUCCCGCGUUGUAUUAGCUAGUUGGUGAGGUAAAGGCUCACCAAGGCGAUGAUACAUAGCCGACCUGAGAGGGUGAUCGGCCACAUUGGGACUGAGACACGGCCCAAACGCCUACGGGAGGCAGCAGUAGGGAAUCUUCGGCAAUGGACGAAAGUCUGACCGAGCAACGCCGCGUGAGUGAAGAAGGUUUUCGGAUCGUAAAACUCUGUUGGUAGAGAAGAACGUUGGUGAGAGUGGAAAGCUCAUCAAGUGACGGUAACUACACAGAAAGGGACGGCUAACUACGUG
rnacentral:rRNA from 1 species